GCACUGGAUUCUGUUCAUAGUUUCCCUCAGAGUUAGCUUCCUAGGUUGAGUUCAAAAACCAAGUAUGAUGCUUUGGAUAAACUAAAUGAAGAGCUUACUACAAGCAACUAAAAGCCAAACAAAUCGAAUAGCAUGUAAAAUCAGGGUUAUGCACCUGUAUUUGAAGAAGGCACAAAGUCUAAAUGUGGCAGUCAUGGUGAUAUGCAACAGUCAAAUGAGAAGAAAAGUCAUGAUGAAGAGUUUGAGCAUGACAGUAAUGGAUACAGUAAAGAGGUUAG